UGGGGAAUAUUGCACAAUGGGCGAAGCCUGAUGCAGCAACGCCGCGUGAGGGACGACGGCCUCGGGUUGUAAACCUCUUUAGCAAGGAAGAAGCGAAAGUGACGGUACUUGCAGAAAAACGCGCCGGCUAACUACGUGCCAGCAGCCGCGGUAAUACGUAGGGCGCAAGCGUUAUCCGGAAUUAUUGGGCGUAAAGAGCUCGUAGGCGGUUUGUCGCGUCUGCUGUGAAAAACCCGAGGCUCAACCUCGGGCCUGCAGUGGGUACGGGCAGACUAGAGUGCGGUAGGGGAGAUUGGAACUCCUGGUGUAGCGGNUGGAAUGCGCAGAUAUCAGGAAGAACACCGAUGGCGAAGGCAGAUCUCUGGGCCGUAACUGANGCUGAGGAGCGAAAGGGUGGGGAGCAAAACAGGCUUAGAUACCCUGGUAGUCCACCCCCGUAAACGUUGGGAACUAGUUGUGGGGUCCAUUCCACGGAUUCCGUGACGCAGCUAACGCAUUAAGUU
rnacentral:rRNA from 1 species